CCCGCAACGAGCGCAACCCUUAUCCUUUGUUGCCAGCGGUUAGGCCGGGAACUCAAAGGAGACUGCCAGUGAUAAACUGGAGGAAGGUGGGGAUGACGUCAAGUCAUCAUGGCCCUUACGACCAGGGCUACACACGUGCUACAAUGGCGCAUACAAAGAGAAGCGACCUCGCGAGAGCAAGCGGACCUCAUAAAGUGCGUCGUAGUCCGGAUUGGAGUCUGCAACUCGACUCCAUGAAGUCGGAAUCGCUAGUAAUCGUGGAUCAGAAUGCCACGGUGAAU
rnacentral:rRNA from 1 species